rnacentral:rRNA from 1 species
UACGGAGGGCGCAAGCGUUGUUCGGAAUCACUGGGCGUAAAGCGCGUGUAGGCGGGUCGGUAAGUCGGCUGUGAAAGCCCGAGGCUCAACCUCGGAAGUGCAGCCGAAACUGGCGGGCUCGAGUCCCGGAGAGGGUGGCGGAAUUUCCGGUGUAGAGGUGAAAUUCGUAGAUAUCGGAAGGAACACCAGAGGCGAAGGCGGCCACCUGGACGGUGACUGACGCUGAGACGCGAAAGCGUGGGGAGCAAACAGG